rnacentral:misc_RNA from 1 species
UAAACUGAUGAAAAUGGUCAGAAUUCUUUCAUGACUAACAAAAUUUGUUUGUCAUUGCAUUCAAGAGUAGAAAAAAAUUCAGUCAAAAGAAUAAUUUCUGCGUGUACAUAACCAUUUCGGUUUAAUACAAUUCACAGUUAAAACUAAUGAAAAAAAUCCAAAAUGUUGUAAGAACAAGAGUAACCCAGUAUGAACACUUACAACUCUUCAUCGUGUGCCUUGCCAAUAAAGCAACAGGAAUGAAACUCAUCUAAAGGCCAAAAUUACACAUCUGAACAAACUCCAUAUCAUUGUCCACAUAUUUAGUCCAAAGACUCUUGUAUUGAUUCAUGGCGAUGUCAAGCCAAGGUUUCAUGUUUCCAUUGUAAUGAAUGACUGCAGCCUUGUUGAUCUCAUCCAUGCUAAUACUUGGAUUGUACCCAAGGCCAAGCACAUGCCAAGCCUUGUCCAAUGAUUUUGUUGUUGAGUAAAAGGUGAUCAAGCCAGGUGGAAGAGUACCCAAUUUCCAUAGAUUACGAUCCUCAUUCUGAUAAAAUAAUGUGCACAAAAUUAAUCGAACCUAUCUCUCCAUCUCAGCCUUAAAAUGCAAUUAAAUCAUUAACAUUUUCAAAAUAUCUUGUGUGGAUUCAUUUAUUUAGUCAUUAAAUGCAAAAAUUUAUUAUAAAUCAGUAGCUAUACUAACAACAAAACACAGAGGAAUUGAAAAGGAAGCAAAGAUACAUACCAAGCUCUGCCAGUAAUGAUACUGUUCGGUGCAUUUUUCAUGCCUCCAAGCAUCAAGAUCAAAUAUAUUCAUUCCAAAAGCCCAAGCACAGGCCUUAGGAUUAAACCGCUCCUUAAUUAAAGGAUGAGAGAAGUUCAAAUACUGUGCAUAGCGAUGAAAUGACCCAAAACAGGUCUCAACAGCCCCAUUCACCUUUCCAUCCAAAUCAAUCCUCCACAACCCUGUCAAGUCCUUUUGAACCACAACAUCAUCAUCCAAAAACAAAAUCUUAUGCAACUUUGGAUACAUCUCUGGCAGAUAAAAACGAAGAUGAUUCAGCAUAGACAAAUA